UACAGAGGGGGCAAGCGUUGUUCGGAAUUACUGGGCGUAAAGGGCGCGUAGGUGGCCUUCUAAGUUGAACGUGAAAUCCCUGGGCUCAACCCAGGAACUGCGUCCAAGACUGGGAGGCUUGAAUCCGGGAGAGGGAUGCGGAAUUCCAGGUGUAGCGGUGAAAUGCGUAGAUAUCGGGAGGAACACCUGUGGCGAAAGCGGCUCACUGGACCACAACUGACGCUGAUGCGCGAAAGCUAGGGGAGCAAACAGG
rnacentral:rRNA from 1 species